UACGUAGGGCUCAAGCGUUGUUCGGAUUUAUUGGGCGUAAAGGGCGCGUAGGCGGCGCCGUAAGUCGGGUGUGAAAUCUCGGAGCUUAACUCCGAAACUGCAUUCGAUACUGCGGUGCUUGAGGACUGGAGAGGAGACUGGAAUUCAUGGUGUAGCGGUGAAAUGCGUAGAGAUCAGGAGGAAGACCAGUGGCGAAGGCGGGUCUCUGGACAGGUCCUGACACUGAGACGCGAAGGCCAGGGGAGCAAACGGG
rnacentral:rRNA from 1 species